rnacentral:lncRNA from 1 species
GCACCACCACACCUGGCUAAUUUUGUAUUUUUAGUAGAGAUGGGGUUUCUCCAUGUUGGUCAGGCUGGUCUCGAACUCCCGACUUCAGGUGAUCCGCCCGCCUCAGCCUCCCAAAGGGCUGGGAUUACAGGCGUGAGCCACUGUGCCUGGCCCCAAGUUUUGCAUCUUUUAAUGCCCUCUGAACAAAUACAUAGAGAAAACUCUCAGAACAAUUAAAACCUGCAGAGCAACAGUGUCCUCCAUGUCUUAGGUUUCAAGUUUGCCUCUAAAAUUCUAAUCCAUAUUUUUCUACUUCUCAGAUAAUUUAUGUGUGUGUACUCUUCCUAGACGUACAAGAGACUUUUUAAUGCUAAAUAUUUGUCAGUGCUUAACAAAAACUCAAUUUCACAUUACUCAUAUUGUUUUUGUUUUAAUUGAAUGUGAAUUAAAUUUUUAUUAGUUAUUUGAUUUGGAAUGUUAUGUAUGCCAUUAACACUAUUAGGGGAAUCUCUAGCAUUUCUGUAUUUUUAAAGAAUUUGAUUCUUUUGUAGAUUCUGCCUGUGUGGUCAUUUUAAAACAUGUGUGACAUAUAUCAGUACCUUCAUUCUUCUAUAUUUUGUGUCUCCUCCAACCUCCAACUUUUUUUGUUUUUUGAAAAAUGUUUCUCUAACACCUCAACAGUUUAAGGUAAUUUAGUACACAUAUAUCAGUAUUUUUGUGAUCUGAAAAAGCAACCCAUUUUCUAAAUUCAUAUUUUUCCUAAAACUUUACUAUGUUUUUAUUUUAAGAGGUUUCCUGUUAUAUACACUUUUUACACAUGCAAAUAAACUUUAUACCAAGUGAGUAUUU